rnacentral:rRNA from 1 species
UACGUAGGGCGCAAGCGUUGUCCGGAAUUAUUGGGCGUAAAGAGCUCGUAGGCGGUUUGUCGCGUCUGGUGUGAAAUCCCGAGGCUCAACUUCGGGCUUGCAUCGGGUACGGGCAGACUAGAGUACUGUAGGGGAGACUGGAAUUCCUGGUGUAGCGGUGGAAUGCGCAGAUAUCAGGAGGAACACCGAUGGCGAAGGCAGGUCUCUGGGCAGUCACUGACGCUGAGGAGCGAAAGCAUGGGGAGCGAACAGGAUUAGA